UACGUAGGGGGCAAGCGUUGUCCGGAAUUAUUGGGCGUAAAGAGCGCGUAGGCGGUCCGAUAAGUCGGCUGUGAAAGUCCAGGGCUCAACCCUGGAAAGCCGGCCGAUACUGUCGGACUAGAGUCCGGAAGAGGCAAGUGGAAUUCCCGGUGUAGCGGUGAAAUGCGCAGAUAUCGGGAGGAACACCAAUUGCGAAGGCAGCUUGCUGGGACGGUACUGACGCUGAGGCGCGAAAGCGUGGGGAGCGAACAGG
rnacentral:rRNA from 1 species